AUUGAACGCUGGCGGCAGGCUUAACACAUGCAAGUCGAGCGGAGAUGAGGUGCUUGCACCUUAUCUUAGCGGCGGACGGGUGAGUAAUGCUUAGGAAUCUGCCUAUUAGUGGGGGACAACAUUCCGAAAGGAAUGCUAAUACCGCAUACGUCCUACGGGAGAAAGCAGGGGAUCAUCGGACCUUGCGCUAAUAGAUGAGCCUAAGUCGGAUUAGCUAGUUGGUGGGGUAAAGGCCUACCAAGGCGACGAUCUGUAGCGGGUCUGAGAGGAUGAUCCGCCACACUGGGACUGAGACACGGCCCAGACUCCUACGGGAGGCAGCAGUGGGGAAUAUUGGACAAUGGGGGGAACCCUGAUCCAGCCAUGCCGCGUGUGUGAAGAAGGCCUUAUGGUUGUAAAGCACUUUAAGCGAGGAGGAGGCUACUGAGACUAAUACUCUUGGAUAGUGGACGUUACUCGCAGAAUAAGCACCAGCUAACUCUGUGCCAGCCGCCGCAGUAACAC
rnacentral:rRNA from 1 species